AAAGUACUGAAAGAUACGUCGAAGUAGAACUGAAUCAGGAGUUUCACUUCAUCUCUGUAUGCUAGUACUUCUGAGGGGAUGCGUCUGAAUACAACAGUACCAUUUAUCUCCAGGGCAUACGUUCCAACAUCUCCAGUGAAAGCCUGAAACCAGUUCCAAACCUGACUGGCAUCAUUUGGAACACGUUUCUGUUCGUCUCUCCCAUACAGAAAUUUAAUGCCUUUUCCAUCCUAAUUAAGCGCUUAUCAUGUACUGCGGCUGUAACUUGUGCAGUUUGAAGGGCCACAGCAAAACUAGCAGGAAUUUUUUUCUUCUUUCAUGGAUCGAACGUUCUUUCUUACCAUAGAUCUUAGCAAACUCGGCAUAUGAUUUUUUUUCUUUCUCUAUUAAGUUGAAAACUUUCACCUUUUCACUUAAAGGAAACACUUUACGGCUUCUCUUUGGAAAACCCGAAUUGC
rnacentral:lncRNA from 10 species